AUUUAGCAGAACCAGACACCAAAUCUGCAAUACUACUGGCACAUGUUUUGCUUUACAAUCAGAUUGCAAUUCUAUAACAAACAUUUGGCAAAACGCAACACACAAUUCUCUACCUUUGGCACAAUCUUCACAACUAAAAUCUCUUGUGCAAAUGAAAAGCAACACUGUUCAACGAGCUAAACUCAAUGUAUCCCUUUCACUCUUCACAUGUGCAAACACUAAUUGUGUAAAUGUUCACUUUGCAAUCAGACCUUUGGUAUGGAUAAAAUGGCCACUCCUGUGUUUGGAAAACAAUGGAAGCAAACUUUGCACAGAGAGGUGGAGGGUGGAGGAAGACCUAGAACAAGGACAAGGACAGUGAUCUCUGAUGAAAUUUGGGCAACUGUGGUGGACCAUGUGGUCAACCAUGGUUUGACCUUGAGAGAGGCUGGGCAGAGAGUGCUGCCCAAUCUGAGCCGCUUCACCGUAAGCAUCCAUCAUCCGGAAGUACCAAGAUGAGAAUAGGGGUGAGAAGAGCUGACCAAUCAGAACUGAGGAGGAUUGUUACAGAGCCCCAUGAUGAACACCUGAUGCUGCACUGACUUCUCUCUCCUGGGAGCUCUCCUCUCCAAACUGUCCCGUUGUGUGUUUCACCGCCUCAGAGGCACGCCUCUGCCGUAAAUGUACCCAAGUGAUGCUGUAGUAUAUUUUACAGUAACACACAGUUACAGUAUUAAGCUCGUAGCUCUGAAUUUACAGGGAAAAGCUUGACAGUGUAGCCUCUGUUGCCUACGGUCAGGUUUUGGAGACUAGCGGAUGGAAGGGGUCUCACCCCACUGAAACCCUUCAGGCUUUGCUCUCCAUUACACUCACAACUCCUGUUUUAUCAUGUGGAGGGGGCUCUGGAGCGCAGCCCAGACCAGCUGAUUACUUCCAGACACUGCUCUGGAGUCUGUUAAAAAUCUCUCCACACACACGCGCGCACACACACACACACACACACACUAAUGCAUACAGUAUUAGCAUCACACAGACACACACACUCAGUAUUAGUGUGUGACAGUAUACAGUAUUGAACACACCAACGCUUUAAUCAGCAUAUACCAGUGCAACACAAUCCAACACACAGUCCAACCUGGUUUUUAUCUGUCCAACCAAUGACUCAGAGACGAUGAGUAGCAGUUGAGUGGUGAACAAGUCGGUAUGGAAUGUUAUUUCAUACACUGCACUGUGGAGGAGGGGAGCGAAUACAGGAAUAAAGAGUUGGUUCAGACAUACACCCUGCUUACUAUAUUUGUGUGCCUAUGAACGGCGUGCAUAGAAAUCUCUAUCACUACUUUCUGUAUUAUCUGUACCAUCUGUACUUCUAUCUGUCUCCCCCUACUACUGUAAAUAUUUACCUGUCCCCACGCAGGCUAGCGA
ensembl:lncRNA